rnacentral:lncRNA from 12 species
CAUGCUCAGGCUUUCUUCCUCAGAGGAAACAGCCUUCGAUUUAGAAUAACAGCGUUCAGGCUACACCGUGCAGAGUGCAGUGGCAAGCAAAAAAAAAAAGUAAGCCAUUGGCAAUGUGUGCUAAAUGGAAGUGUUUAUUUACCGGCGGUAUAAACCUGCCCACUACUACAAAGGAUAAGAGGCCACCGAUCGCAUCUUGUGCCUGUUAGUACUCACUGCCCUUGGGGAUUAAGUGCGGACUGUCAUCAUGCAGUCUGGGUUUUUCCAAAUAAAACCUGAAACCCUCUCUUCUUGGUCAAGAGAGGUGUGUACCCUGCCCCCUUUCUGGAUCCCGGGCCAGCCUUGCCCUUCUCAGCCCCAAGGCUGUGACACCUGGUGUCUGAUUCCAGCUGGAGCCAUAAAGAGCACAUUCCUCCUGGAUAAGCUGUCCAAACCCACCAUAACAUCUGCUGUUCAACCUGACAUCGCAUGGACCUUUACUGCAUAUUUUACACACAAUCGGAAGCAUCCGUUGGACACAAAAGAGCACCCAUGAUGCUCUUUCCAGUGUGUAGUACCUUCCCCCCCACCCCAGACAGUGUCAGUCCCUCUCUCUGUCUCCAUUUAUGAAAAUCCUACCUAUCUUACAGGGCUUAAGUGCCACCUCUACCAUGAAACCGUCCUUUAUCUUUUGAAACCAUAAUAAUCCUCUUUCCUUUAAACUUACAGAUUUCCCAUUUGCCCUCUAUAGGAUCAUAGGAUGCUUGCCUCGUUUGUUUGUUUGUUUGUGUUUGCUGUGGUCAGUUGUGUACAUUCUCCGCACUAGACUAAAGUCCUGGAUGGCAUAAUGUCCUCCAUUCUACCUAAUUUUGGGGUAUACAUAGCACAAAGGAAAAUAAACCCCUUAAAAAUUGGAGAGAAGACA